CGAUCAACAACACGGUAUGUAUUUUGACUUUUGGGACAUUUAAAGCCUUGUGGAGGUGUGUGAGACUGUUGUGGCGUGCUGAUCGUUCUCUCCGCCCCUGGACACCACAAGCAGCCGCCGGAAACCCUGGACACACGGGGAAAGGUGACCAAGGUUGUGGCGGCCAGCUGAGGGAGUGGCAGACUUUUUCGUGUUUGUGUGUGUGCGUUUGUGUGUGUGUGGAGAAGUGUUAUUGUGUGGGGUGGGUGAAGCGACGCGCCCCCCGGCGUAAGCCCCACUUGGUUGAUUGAUCGACUUACCCCAUGCCAGGGACGCUGCUGCGGUGUGGGGGGCGGCGCCCCGCCUGUUACGGGGCCCAGGCAUACUCACCUGUCUCGAUACACACACACACACACACACACACACACAGCCUUGUUUCCAUCUGUACAAUAUGAUACUGUCAUUGCCUUCAACAUGUUGGUAAAACUCUAGACUUACACCCGCUGGCAGCCCUCAGCCCACACCAGCAGGCAGCCCACAGUGUCCUGGGGUAGUGUUGCGCUGACAGUGCAACAGGGCCUGAAACUAUCAGCGGUGAAUGGCAAGAGGGCAGCCAGCCAGCCUCCUCCUGCCAAACUAAUAGCUACUUACCGUUCACCGGUGAUGAGGUUUCAGGCCCUGCUGCUCCGCCGCUGGUGCAGCGCUCUACGAGGGCAGUCAACAAUUACAGUGUUAGCCUCAAGAGUAAUCUUGGAUGCACUUUUUCUCAAACGUUGUACAGCCAUCAUCAGCACUGCCAAUCCCGCACGGAGCCCGAUCAGCACACACCUUGUCACUGUCACGGCCCGCCUCUGCUGACAAGGACAUAGGGGACUGUUUACGAGAGGCCAGUUAAUCAUUGGGGUGCAUACGCUGGGGGUGCGUCGCCUUGCCCACCCCAGGGCUUCUUCCCCCUGCAAGCCCCCUUCCUCCCCACCCCAAGCACCUCACGGCAUGGAGUCUGUGGGCACCCCCUUCCUUUCCCCUUCUGAAAAUAAGUGAUUUCUGCGAAACAAAUAUUACAGAUUUUAUUUUAAUGUCUAUUAUAUUCUAUUUCAUUGACAUGUUGUAGUCUACUUGUUUUGUGAGGCUCAAGGGCUUCAUUUUCAUCUCUGUAUUGUGAGUUUGGGACAAAUCAAAACUCACCAUAAGUUUGAACCUCACAACAUACAUGGUGAAAAGUAAUCCCUUGACCCUCACAUAACAAACAGAACAGGAUGUAUGCAUAAAAUAUUAUGAAGAGAUGGAGAACUAAUGAAAGCUCUGACCUCACACUACACAGAAAAGUAAACCCUUGACAAGCCUCACAGAAUAUAUACAGACUAGAAUAAGUCAAUAAGAUGGAGUAUAUAUAACAGAAAUAUCAAAGUCUGACCUCACACUAUGAUGCAGACAAGGUGAAGAAUAAGCUGUUCAACAUUGCACAAUAAAUAAAAUGGAAUAAUCUGAACGGAAAUAAAAUACAACAGCUC